ensembl:lincRNA
AUUUGUCCUACUGCUCACCAGCCAAGUUUACCAGAAACAAAUCAGUGGUCUAACAAAGCAGGCAUCUUACCAAGAGGAUAUUAGCAAGUGCUUCUUACAGGAUUUGGGGUUGUAUUAGAAGAUUUUGGGAUGAUCCAAGGAACCAGGUACUUUAGGAUUGAGUGCAGGGAGGUCCUGGAACCAAUUCCUCAUGAUUACCAAGUGACAACAUGUAUACAGCGAUGCAGGACUUCUGGUGGCCACAUGUCAGUCAGAAGAAGACUAUGAGACUCUUGCAACAGUGGAGCUAUGAAAUGGUGAAAACUGGAACAACACUGGGGGCCUGGUACUGAGAAUGACACAGCCACACAACAAGGUCUUUACUGCAAAUCUUGGAGGUGAGCUAGAAACAAACUUCUAUCUUAUUUAAGCCACUGUGCUAGGGAUUUCUUUACCUAGAAUGCUAUUUCCCCAAAUUGUUGCAUGACUCUAUCCUUUUUAUCACUUACUUCUCUAAUCAAAUGUCC